AGCAUUUAUUCACAAUUCCCUGCAAAAAGCACAACACAGCAGCACCCGAGCUCAGCUUCAGGAAUUCCAGACGCUGCAGUGGUCUGCAAUCAGCUUCCACAACACAGCAAGGCCACGUCACAGCCCUCAGGACUCCCCUGCAUGCUGAGGAAGUUGGCACGUUUGGCUACACCAGGAAGAAAUAAACCCCCAAACAUAGGGACAGAAUGAA